AUACGUAGGUGACAAGCGUUAUCCGGAUUUACUGGGCGUAAAGGGCGUGUAGGCGGUAUACCAAGUCAGAUGUGAAAUCUCCCGGCUCAACCGGGAGCGUGCAUCUGAAACUGGUACACUUGAGUGCUGGAGGGGAAAGCGGAAUUCCUAGUGUAGCGGUAAAAUGCGUAGAUAUUAGGAGGAACACCGGUGGCGAAGGCGUCUUUCUGGACAUUAACUGACGCUGAGACGCGAAAGCGUGGGGAGCAAACAGGAUUGGAUACCCUGGUAGUCCACGCCAUAAACGAUGAAUACUAGGUGUAGGGGGUAUCGACCCCCUCUGUGCCGACGUUAACACAUUAAGUAUUCCACCUGGGGAGUACGUUCGCAAGAAUGAAACUCAAAGGAAUUGACGGGU
rnacentral:rRNA from 1 species